GGCCAAAGCAUCAGAAAGCUUGUAUACAGAGGAGUCAAAACGAAGAACAGUAGUUGAGGAAGAAUUAGCAAAAGAAAAGGAAGAACUUGAAAAGAUAAAUAAAGAACUUGAAAAGAUAAAUAAAGAACAGGAUGAAGUCAUGGGAGAACUUUGCAUUGCCCAGGAUCACAAAUCACUGCUGGAGAAGCAAAUUGAAGAGUCUGAUGAGAUGGUAAAGGAGUUGGAGCAGAAAAUCAUCUCUGCUGUG
rnacentral:lncRNA from 1 species